AGCGAACGCUGGCGGUAGGCCUAACACAUGCAAGUCGAACGGCAGCACAGUAAGAGCUUGCUCUUACGGGUGGCGAGUGGCGGACGGGUGAGGAAUACAUCGGAAUCUACUUUUUCGUGGGGAUAACGUAGGGAAACUUACGCUAAUACCGCAUACGACCUACGGGUGAAAGCAGGGGAUCUUCGGACCUUGCGCGAUUGAAUGAGCCGAUGUCGGAUUAGCUAGUUGGCGGGGUAAAGGCCCACCAAGGCGACGAUCCGUAGCUGGUCUGAGAGGAUGAUCAGCCACACUGGAACUGAGACACGGUCCAGACUCCUACGGGAGGCAGCAGUGGGGAAUAUUGGACAAUGGGCGCAAGCCUGAUCCAGCCAUACCGCGUGGGUGAAGAAGGCCUUCGGGUUGUAAAGCCCUUUUGUUGGGAAAGAAAAGCAGCAGGUUAAUACCCCGCUGUUCUGACGGUACCCAAAGAAUAAGCACCGGCUAACUUCGUG
rnacentral:rRNA from 1 species